rnacentral:rRNA from 1 species
CCCUUAGAGUUUGAUCCUGGCUCAGAAUCAACGCUGGCGGCGUGCCUCAGACAUGCAAGUCGAACGCGAAAGGCCCCUUCGGGGGCCGAGUAGAGUGGCGCACGGGUGAGUAACACGUGGGUAAUCUACCUCUGGGUGGGGAAUAACAGCCGGAAACGGCUGCUAAUACCGCAUAAUGCAGCGGCACCACAUGGUGACAGUUGUUAAAGCGGGGGAUCGUAAGACCUCGCGCCUAGAGAUGAGCCCGCGGCGGAUUAGCUAGUUGGCAGGGUAACGGCCUACCAAGGCGACGAUCCGUAGCCGGCCUGAGAGGGCGGACGGCCACACUGGCACUGACAUACGGGCCAGACUCCUACGGGAGGCAGCAGUCGGGAAUUUUGGGCAAUGGGCGAAAGCCUGACCCAGCAACGCCGCGUGAAGGAUGAAGCUUCUCGGAGUGUAAACUUCAUAAGAAUGGGACGAAUAAGGGAGGGGUUAACACCCCCUUUGAUGACGGUACCAUUUGUAAGCUCCGGCUAACUCCGUGCCAGCAGCCGCGGUAAUACGGGGGGAGCAAGCGUUGUUCGGAUUUACUGGGCGUAAAGGGCGCGUAGGCGGCGUAACAAGUCACUUGUGAAAUCUCCGGGCUUAACCCGGAGCGGCCAAGUGAUACUGUUGUGCUAGAGUGCGGAAGGGGCUACUGGAAUUCUCGGUGUAGCGGUGAAAUGCGUAGAUAUCGAGAGGAACACCUGCGGCGAAGCGGGUAGCUGGGCCGACACUGACGCUGAGCGCGAAGCAGGGAGCGACGGGAUAGAUACCCCGGUAGUCUGGCCUAACGAUGGAUACUUGG